UACGUAGGGGGCAAGCGUUGUCCGGGUUUAUUGGGCGUAAAGGGCGCGUAGGCGGUUUCUUAAGUUUGGAGUGACAGUGGGUGGCUUAACUACCCAAGGCCUCUGAAAACUGGGGAACUUGAGGACCAGAGAGGGACAUAGAAUUCCGGGUGGAGUGGUGAAAUGCGUAGAUAUCCGGAGGAAUACCAAAGGCGAAGGCAGUGUCCUGGAGGGUAACUGACGCUGAGGCGCGAAAGCUAGGGGAGCGAACAGG
rnacentral:rRNA from 1 species